UGGAAGAAGAGCAGACCGUCACCUGCAGGCAGCAGUUGUGUGAUGGAGUGGGGUCAAUCCCUGACGUGCAGCCGAAGAGGAGGUGUCUGCUGACCCGGACGGAUCCCAACUGCAGUCAAGUAGAGAAGAGGAGGAUGCACAGCAAACAGCAGAGCCCAGCAGAGCCCAGCAGAAGUCCAGGAUCCAAUUCCGCAACCAGGAAGCCUAAUAGAGAAGCUUUUUGAAUUUAUUUCCUUCUGUCUCUUCUUCUCUUCUCUGUCUCCUAAAC